CCUACGGGAGGCAGCAGUGAGGAAUAUUGGUCAAUGGACGAGAGUCUGAACCAGCCACGUAGCGUGAAGGAUGACUGCCCUAUGGGUUGUAAACUUCUUUUAUAAAGGAAUAAAACGAGGCACGUGUGCCUUUUUGCAUGUACUUUAUGAAUAAGGAUCGGCUAACUCCGUGCCAGCAGCCGCGGUAAUACGGAGGAUACGAGCGUUAUCCGGAUUUAUUGGGUUUAAAGGGAGCGUAGAUGGGUUGUUAAGUCAGUUGUGAACGUUUGCGGCUCAACCGUCAAAUUGCAAUUGAUACUGGCAGUCUUGAGUACAGUUGAGGUAGGCGGAAUUCGUGGUGUAGCGGUGAAAUGCUUAGAUAUCACGAAGAACUCCGAUUGCGAAGGCAGCUUACUGAACUGUCACUGACGUUGAGGCUCGAAAGUGUGGGUAGCAAACAGGAUUAGAUACCCUGGUAGUC
rnacentral:rRNA from 1 species